UCGGGAUGUGGCGCAGCUUGGUAGCGCGCGUCGUUCGGGACGACGAGGUCGCAGGUUCAAAUCCUGUCAUCCCGACAGA
rnacentral:tRNA from 1 species